UUUCAGAAACUUCGUCACAGCUCUUUCAUCGAGGCAUAGUCGAAGCAAACUUUGGAAUCCAGGAUAAUCAGAAGUUAACAAGUGGAUUAUUUGAACGAAUGAAGUCGAUAGAGUGGGCUCUUCAAAAGAAAAUUUUAAAUAAUGAGCCAGAGCCAGAAGGUUUUAAUUUUUAAAUCUUCCCACUCACUUCAAUGUUGGAAUUUGAAGAAGUGAACGACCAGCUCGAGCCUUUUCAUGCUCGAAAAUCUUUAAAGGAGAAACUUGCAGUAAUUGGAGGAAAAAGUCUUGCAAGUGUAGUGAGGAAAAUCCUAAAAAAGGUUCUGGAUAAGGAGUUCGGCAAGCAAUUUAGCUGAUACGGGCGACGAGGAAAUUGCAUCUUGGGAUCCUCUCUUCUUGGAAAAAUAAUACUAGAAUCAGCUACUUCUAGUAAGACAUUACCCAUUACAGAAACAGAGGCCAUUGACGCAGCAAUGUCUUGGCUUCGCCAGUCAAAGGAUAAGAAGACUAACGCUAAUUGAAACAUCAGCCCUAUCAACCGUGGUUUCCUCGAUCAACACAGAACAUUACAUUUUCAUUAUUUUAGUUUUGAAUUUAGGCGAUUUCUUUAUUCAUUGUCGUUUCUUUUAAUUAACACAACUAAAUUGCAAUGAGCGGUUUUCGUGUUGAAUUUAUUCUCUUUGUAUUUAUUGUAAGAAAUACAGUUUCUCGGUUUUUA